GUCACGGGUUAAUAAUUUAAUACCUGUAACGUAGCUGAAAAUAUCUGCUCACCCCCCUGCUUCCAAACAGUAAAGGGAAUUUCAAUGGGUUAUAUCAUUCCUACACUUAGGAAUUGGGAGGACUGAAUGGACUAUCAUUUAACUGUUAGCUUUACAUUAUUGCAUUACCUUUUGGUAGUGCUGUGCCAUGAUAAAACUUUCAAGUCCCUUAGGGUCCCAGACUUAUUUUUUUAUGUAACAUUGUAGUACUUAAAUAACAGUGUAUUUUGAGAAUUUAUGCUUCUAUUAUCUAUGGGUGCGGCAGAUACUGUGUGAGGUUUUAUAUGUGUAUGGCCUUUACAUUUGUGUGAGUGUGUAUUCAGUCUGUGUAUGCACUGUUUGUUGUAUUGAGUGUAUGGAAGAUUUGCUUGUAG